UACAGAGGUCUCAAGCGUUGUUCGGAUUCAUUGGGCGUAAAGGGUGCGUAGGUGGCGCUGUAAGUCGGGUGUGAAAUUUCGGAGCUUAACUCCGAAACUGCAUUCGAUACUGCGGUGCUUGAGGACUGGAGAGGAGACUGGAAUUCAUGGUGUAGCAGUGAAAUGCGUAGAGAUCAUGAGGAAGACCAGUGGCGAAGGCGGGUCUCUGGACGGUUCCUGACACUGAGGCACGAAGGCCAGGGGAGCAAACGGG
rnacentral:rRNA from 1 species